GAGACUGUAGCUCAGAGGAUAGAGCAACGUAAAACACUUUACCAGAUUUUAAUCUGCAUUGCAGGUGUGAUGAUAAAGUUACUUCGCAUUCGACGCCGUAGGUCGCUGGUUCGAAUCCAGUCAGUCUCU
rnacentral:tRNA from 3 species